GAUGAAGAACGUAGCGAAACGCGAUACGUAAUGUGAAUUGCAGAAUUCAGUGAAUCAUCGAGUCUUUGAACGCACAUUGCGCCCCCUGGCAUUCCGGGGGGCAUGCCUGUCCGAGCGUCAUUGCUGCCCUUCAAGCCCGGCUUGUGUGUUGGGUCGUCGUCCCCUCCGGGGGACGGGCCCGAAAGGCAGCGGCGGCACCGCGUCCGGUCCUCGAGCGUAUGGGGCUUUGUCACCCGCUCGAUUAGGGCCGGCCGGGCGCCAGCCGGCGUCUCCAACCUUUUAUUUUACCAGGUUGACCUCGGAUCAGGUAGGGAUACCCGCUGAACUUAAGCAUAUCAAUAAGCGGAGGA
rnacentral:misc_RNA from 1 species